rnacentral:rRNA from 1 species
AUUGAACGCUGGCGGAAUGCUUUACACAUGCAAGUCGAACGGCAGCACGGACUUCGGUCUGGUGGCGAGUGGCGAACGGGUGAGUAACAUAUCGGAACGUAUCCAAUAAUGGGGGAUAACGAGUCGAAAGAUUCGCUAAUACCGCAUACGCCCUACGGGGGAAAGCUGGGGACCUUCGGGCCUGGCGUUAAUGGAGCGGUCGAUAUCUGAUUAGCUAGUUGGUGAGGUAAAGGCUCACCAAGGCGACGAUCAGUGGCUGGUCUGAGAGGACGACCAGCCACACUGGAACUGAGACACGGUCCAGACUCCUACGGGAGGCAGCAGUGGGGAAUUUUGGACAAUGGGCGCAAGCCUGAUCCAGCCAUUCCGCGUGAGUGAAGAAGGCCUUCGGGUUGUAAAGCUCUUUCGCAAGGGAAGAAAACUUAGCCACUAACAUUGGUUGAGGUUGACGGUACCUUGAUAAGAAGCACCGGCUAACUACGUGCCAGCCGCCGCGGUAA